rnacentral:rRNA from 1 species
UACAGAGGGGGCUAGCGUUGUUCGGAGUUACUGGGCGUAAAGCGUGCGUAGGCGGUGUCUUAAGUUUGUUGUGAAAUCUCCCGGCUUAACCGGGGGGGUGCGGCGAAUACUGAGAUGCUGGAGUGCGGGAGAGGUAAGCGGAAUUCCAGGUGUAGCGGUGAAAUGCGUAGAUAUCUGGAGGAACACCGGUGGCGAAGGCGGCAUCCUGGACCGGCAUUGACGCUGAGGCGCGAAAGCCAGGGGAGCAAACGGG